AUUGAACGCUGGCGGCAUGCUUUACACAUGCAAGUCGAACGGCAGCGCGGGCUUCGGCCUGGCGGCGCGUGGCGAACGGGUGAGUAAUACAUCGGAACGUGCCCAGUAGAGGGGGAUAGCUCGGCGACAGCCGGAUUAAUACCGCAUACGACCUGAUGGUGAAAGCGGGGGAUCUUCGGACCUCGCGCUAUUGGCGCGGCCGAUGGCAGAUUAGCUAGUUGGUGGGGUAAAGGCCUACCAAGGCGACGAUCUGUAGCUGGUCUGAGAGGACGACCAGCCACACUGGAACUGAGACACGGCCCAGACUCCUACGGGAGGCAGCAGUGGGGAAUUUUGGACAAUGGGCGAAAGCCUGACCGAGCAACGCCGCGUGAGUGAUGAAGGCCUUCGGAUUGUAAAGCACUUUUGGCGGGAACGAAAAGGACUGUGCCAAAACCAGGGUGCGUUGACGGUACCCGCAGAAAAAGCACCGGCUAACUACGUG
rnacentral:rRNA from 1 species